CCUACGGGUGGCAGCAGUGGGGAAUAUUGCACAAUGGGGGAAACCCUGAUGCAGCGACGCCGCGUGAGUGAAGAAGUAUUUCGGUAUGUAAAGCUCUAUCAGCAGGGAAGAAGAAAGACGGUACCUGACUAAGAAGCCCCGGCUAACUACGUGCCAGCAGCCGCGGUAAUACGUAGGGGGCAAGCGUUAUCCGGAUUUACUGGGUGUAAAGGGAGCGUAGACGGCUGUGCAAGUCUGAAGUGAAAGCCCAGGGCUCAACCCUGGGACUGCUUUGGAAACUGUGGAGCUAGAGUGCUGGAGAGGUAAGUGGAAUUCCUAGUGUAGCGGUGAAAUGCGUAGAUAUCAGGAGGAACACCGGCGGCGAAGGCGGCCUGCUGGACCGCGACUGACGUUGAGGCUCGAAAGCGUGGGGAGCGAACAGGAUUAGAUACCCCUGUAGUC
rnacentral:rRNA from 1 species